GAUGAACGCUGGCGGCGUGCCUAAUACAUGCAAGUCGAGCGAACAGACGAGGAGCUUGCUCCUCUGACGUUAGCGGCGGACGGGUGAGUAACACGUGGAUAACCUACCUAUAAGACUGGGAUAACUUCGGGAAACCGGAGCUAAUACCGGAUAAUAUAUUGAACCGCAUGGUUCAAUAGUGAAAGACGGUUUUGCUGUCACUUAUAGAUGGAUCCGCGCCGCAUUAGCUAGUUGGUAAGGUAACGGCUUACCAAGGCAACGAUGCGUAGCCGACCUGAGAGGGUGAUCGGCCACACUGGAACUGAGACACGGUCCAGACUCCUACGGGAGGCAGCAGUAGGGAAUCUUCCGCAAUGGGCGAAAGCUUGACGGGGCAACGCCGCGUGAGUGAUGAAGGUCUUCGGAUCGUAAAACCCUGUUAUUAGGGAAGAACAAAUGUGUAAGUAACUAUGCACGUCUUGACGGUACCUAAUCAGAAAGCCACGGCUGACUACGUG
rnacentral:rRNA from 1 species